rnacentral:rRNA from 1 species
GCCAGAGGAGGCAAUCGUUAUCCGGAAUUAUUGGGCGUAAAGCGUCCGUAGGUGGUUUGACAAGUCUGGGGUUAAAGCCCGGAGCCCAACUCCGGAUCGGCCCUGGAAACUGUCAGACUUGAGUAAGGUAGGGGUUGCGGGAAUUCCCGGUGUAGCGGUGAAAUGCGUAGAUAUCGGGAAGAACACCAGCGGCUAAAGCGCGCAACUGGGCCAUUACUGACACUGAGGGACGAAAGCUAGGGGAGCGAAUGGG